rnacentral:rRNA from 1 species
GACGAACGCUGGCGGCGUGCCUAAUACAUGCAAGUCGAACGCAUUUUCUUUCACCGUAGCUUGCUACACCGAAAGAAAAUGAGUGGCGAACGGGUGAGUAACACGUGGGUAACCUGCCCAUCAGCGGGGGAUAACACUUGGAAACAGGUGCUAAUACCGCAUAAUUCCAUUUACCGCAUGGUAGAUGGAUGAAAGGCGCUUUUGCGUCACUGGUGGAUGGACCCGCGGUGCAUUAGCUAGUUGGUGGGGUAACGGCCUACCAAGGCUGCGAUGCAUAGCCGACCUGAGAGGGUGAUCGGCCACACUGGGACUGAGACACGGCCCAGACUCCUACGGGAGGCAGCAGUAGGGAAUCUUCGGCAAUGGACACAAGUCUGACCGAGCAACGCCGCGUGAGUGAAGAAGGUUUUCGGAUCGUAAAACUCUGUUGUUAGAGAAGAACAAGGAUGAGAGUGGAAAGUUCAUCCCUUGACGGUAUCUAACCAGAAAGCCACGGCUAACUACGUG